UAAAUAUUAUAUAUAAAUCUAAAUGUUAAAUGUUAAAUCUAAAUGUUAAAUGUUAAAUCUAAAUGUUACGGGAAACUAAAUAUUUAGCUAAUAUGCAAAUUUAUUGUACGGGUCAACGGAAAUACCAAAAUAAAAGCUUCAAGAAAACCUCCCGCGCUAAAGUGUGCCGGUCGUGUUCAGGUUGUGUGUCUGCGCUCCUCUCACGGUCACUUUUCACUGCCAUGAGCUGCUUCACCAAUUCCCUACCAGCAUGUCCAGCGAUUUAGCUGAAAACAUUGGAAGAGCCGUUUUGUCGGCCAUCCAACGAUUCAGCGGUAGUGCACCCUCAACCUCACAAACGCCGCUGCACUUGGAAUCCAGCAAUGCACCUGGACCAAGUAGACCUGCCGUCUCCACUGGGAUACCGUACCGCUCGGAUGGUUACCAAGGAAGGCUUCAGAUUUCCAAAGAGGAAUUGGAAAAUGUUCUUUCCCUGAAAACAUCGUUUACUGAAGCUGCAUCUAUUCUUUCCAUCUCCAGGCCCACUCUGUAUAAGUUACUGCAAGACUAUAAUAUCUCAGUGUCAAAAUUCAAUGUAAUCAGUGACCAUGAGUUAGAUCAGAUAGUGUCCCAGAUAAAAACUGAACAUCCAAAUGUUGGAGAAGUGAUGCUGAUGGGUCAUCUGCGUUCCAAAAACAUAGUGGUUCAAAGAUGGCGUGUAAGAGAGUCACUGCGGAGGGUGGACUCGGCUGGUGUUCUAUCCAGGAGAAGAACUGCAGUUGCUCGGCGAGUAUAUUCUGUGCCUCAUCCAAAUUUCAUAUGGCACAUAGAUGGAAAUCACAAGCUGAUUCGUUGGAAGUUUGUUGUUCAUGGUACAAUAGAUGGAUACAGCAGGAUGUUGAUGUUUCUUCAUUGCUCCAGCAAUAAUUGAGCUGAGACUGUGAAAGCUCUCUUUACUGCAGCUAUUGGACAAUUUGGCAGACCCCUGCAUAUCAGGACUGAUCAUGGAGGAGAGAAUGCUCAGAUUUGGGAGGACAUGCGAGCAAGCAGGGGUGAAAGCUCUGUCUUAAUGGGAAGUUCUGUGCACAACCAGAGGAUUGAGCGUUUCAACCGAGACUUAAUAACUGUAGCCGCAUUUAUGCAUCUAUAUUUUAUGAAUUGGAAUCACUUGGUAUCCUAGACUUAGAAAAUGCAACAGACCUAUUUUGCCUUCAUUAUGUGUUUCUACCACGAAUCAACCGCACUUUGAAGGAAUUCAAAGCUGGAUAUAACAAUCACUCUAUUUCCACUGAAGGUAAUAGAACUCCCAUCCAGCUUUUUGCCUGUGGAACUCAUGUGUUUCAUCGUCACAACCCAGAACUUUCUACAGCAGAGGUCUCCAUACCCUCCUUGUCAAACUCUCAAAGUAGGUUUGUCCCAUUAAAUGACAGCGAUUUACAAGAGCUAUAUACAAGCAUUCACCCUUUUGAAGAAGACAACAAUAAUGGUAAAACAUUGUUUCAACGAACACAGCAGUAUAUUUAUAACAAACUUGUAAAUGUGUGACCUCAACCACAGGAUACCAGUGAUGUUCUAAAGAGUGAUGACACUUAGUAUUAAAUGCUGUACAGCAAAUGUGUUCCAGAAGCCCCCUCCCCUCUAGCAGUGAUACCUCCUGCCACAUAAGGACUCAAAGUUAAUGACUGAUAGUGACUCAUAGGCUAUUCAGAAGGCUACAACUACAUUUGGUUUAUGGGUAAAAACAGUUAUUCAGAUUGCAGUAAAGCCAUCAAAUUCACACUGUAACAGUGUAAUACAGUAUAACAGUGAAAAUUAUC